UGGCCGGCUCUCCCAACAACCCACCGGCGUCGCAGGCUGGGUCCCCAGGCGGGAAGCGCCUCGGCGCCGCGGGGCCCAGGGUCGGGGGUCGCUGGGGGCCUCGCUGCAGACCUUGCGGUGGGCGGGGGGGCGGCCUCACUGCCAGGACCGGCCCCGCCGGGAAAGGGGCGGCGGCGGGUGACUGCAGGCGGGAGCCCGAAGGGGACCGCAAGAGGAGAGCUAUUAUCCGUCCUGGUAACUGACAAGAUUAAAAUUAAAUUUGGUUGAUGAUGGUACUGAACAGCUCUUAUUUGAGAUACGCCAUUUUGAAGACAGACUGGAGUUUUAUCCUUGAGAAUAAAGGAAAUCGUUACGAAAGUCUGUAUUUUAUGUAGCAAAAAUGUGAAUCCUGAGACUGAAUCUCUAAAGGGCCUGUACAACGUAAUAGAUGUUGGUGGAAGCAUUUACACCCAGUCAGCUUGAAGAGUAUCAAAUGGACCACCCCACUGAGAAAUCAAGAUGGCAGCCCACUAUGGGAAAUAGAGGAAAAUGGAUUAAUACAAGAGUGCUGUGAUAAUAAACAACCAAGACAGGGUUCUUUUAACAUGGAUUUCAUGAAAUGAAGACAAUAGGUUUCUUACCCAACACAAAUGGACAGUGGAUUUGACUUUCUAAAGACUUGUAUCAUUAAAACAAAUCCAUUUUUGACAUUUGGAGAAGAAAGAUGGCACAUAAACAAAGAUGAUAGUUUGUAUGCCUGGAAUUUUUUUCAGUCUGAUUUGUAUGAGUAUGACCUUGUGGAAUGUUAACUUUAAUAAAAUUUCUAACACUUUAAAAUUUCUC